rnacentral:rRNA from 1 species
CGUAGGAUGCAAGCGUUGUCCGGAUUUACUGGGCGUAAAGCGCGCGCAGGCGGCAUACCAAGUAUUCAGUGAAAUCUCCCUGCUCAACGGGGAGGGUGCUGAGUAGACUGGUAAGCUAGAGGACGGUAGAGGGGGGUAGAAUUGCUGGUGUAGCGGUGAAAUGCGUAGAGAUCAGCAGGAAUACCCGUGGCGAAGGCGGCCCCCUGGGCCGUUUCUGACGCUGAGGCGCGAAGGCUAGGGGAGCGAACGGGAUUAGAUACCCCGGUAGUCCUAGCAGUAAACGAUGGCCACUAGGUGUGAGGGGUGUUGACCCCCCUUGUGCCGAAGCUAGCGCAUUAAGUGGCCCGCCUGGGGAGUACGGUCGCAAGACUA